GCCUCGGUGGUGUAGUGGUCAAGGCGCUCGCCUGAUAAACGGGAGGGCGUGGGUUCAAUCCGAGCCGAGGUA
rfam:Asian citrus Psyllid, Diaphorina citri - Florida Strain, whole genome shotgun sequence.